rnacentral:piRNA from 1 species
UACCUCAUUGACUGGUUCUAUGCCCACAGC